GAGUAACUCGUGGGUAACCCGCCUCACACCGGGCGAUAACACCCCCAAAUGGUUGCUAAUACCGCACCCGCACACAGGACCCCAUGGGCCGGUGUGAAAAACUCCCGUGGCAUAAGAUGGACCCGCGUUGGAUUAGCUAAUUGGCCGGGUAACCGCCUACCAAGGCGACAAUCCAUAUCCCGCCUGAGAGGGUGAACGGCCCCAUUGCGACUGAGACACGCCCCAGACUCCUACGGGAGGCAUCAGUGGGGAAUAUUGCACAAUGAGCGAAACCCUGAUGCUUCGACUCCGCUUGAAGGAAGAAGUAUCUCCCUCUGCUAAACUUCUAUCAGCAAGGAAGAUAGUGACGGUACUUGAUUAAGAAGCCCCGUCUAAUUACUUGCCAGCAGCCGCGGUAAUAAGUAGGGGGCUAGCGUUAUCCUGAUUUUUUGGGUGUAAAGGGAGCGUAGACGGACUGGCAAGUAUGAUGUGAAAGGCGGGGGCUCAUCCCCUGGACUGCAUUGGAAACUGUUAGUCUUGAGUACCGGAGAGGUAACGAGGAAUUCUCUAGUGUAGCGGUGAAAUGAUGUAGAUAUUAUGGAGGAACACCAGUGGCGAAGGCGGCUUCCUGGUCGGUAACUGACGUCGAGGCUGGAAAGAGUGGGGAGCAAACAGCGAUUAGAUACCCUGGUAGUCCACGCCGUAAACGAUGAAUAUUAGGUGUUGGGGAGCAAAGCUAUUCGGUGCCGCGCGCAAAUGCAUUAAGUAUUCCACGUGGGGAGUACGUUAGCAAGAAUGUCAUUCAUAGGAAUGGACGGGGACCCGCACAAGCGGUGGAGCAUGUGGUUUAAUUUGAAGCAACGCGAAGAACCUUAGCAAGUCUUGACAUCCUCUUGACCGUUCGGUUAAUGGGAAUUUCUCUUCGGACAGAGAGUGACAGGUGGUGCAUGGUUGUGGUCAGCUCGUGUUGUGAGAUUUCGGGUUAAGUCCCGCUCCGUGCGCAACCCUUUCUGUCAGUUACUACGCAAGAGGUCUCUGGCGAGACUACCGUUGACAAAGCGUAGGAAGGUGUGGGACGAGGUCAAAUCAUCAUCCCCUUUAUGACUUGGGUUACACUCCUAUUACAAUGGAGUUUUCCAAAGAGAAGCAAGACCGCGAGGUGGAGCAAAACUCAAAAACAAUGUCUCAGUUCAGAUUGCAGGGCGCUAAUCGCUUGCAAGAAGUGGGAAUUGUUAGUAAUCGCGGAUCAGCAUGCAGCGGGGAAUAAGUUCUCGUCCCUAGCACACACCGCCCGUCA
rnacentral:rRNA from 1 species